rnacentral:rRNA from 1 species
AGUGAACGCUGGCGGUAGGCCUAACACAUGCAAGUCGAACGGCAGCACAGUAAGAGCUUGCUCUUACGGGUGGCGAGUGGCGGACGGGUGAGGAAUACAUCGGAAUCUACUUUUUCGUGGGGGAUAACGUAGGGAAACUUACGCUAAUACCGCAUACGACCUACGGGUGAAAGCAGGGGAUCUUCGGACCUUGCGCGAUUGAAUGAGCCGAUGUCGGAUUAGCUAGGUGGCGGGGGAAAGGCCCACCAAGGCGACGAUCCGUAGCUGGUCUGAGAGGAUGAUGAGCCACACUGGAACUGAGACACGGCCCAGACUCCUACGGGAGGCAGCAGUGGGGAAUAUUGGACAAUGGUGACAAGCCUGAUCCAGCCAUACCGCGUCGGUGAAGAAGGCCUUCGGGUUGUAAAGCCCUUUUGUUGGGAAAGAAAAGCAGCAGGUUAAUACCCCGCUGUUCUGACGGUACCCAAAGAAUAAGCACCGGCUAACUUCGUG